UGCGGUGCGGGAGAAGUGC
rnacentral:miRNA from 1 species